rnacentral:rRNA from 1 species
AUGAGGAGCGGCGGCGACGUCAAAUCCUUCUUCCGGCAGCAGAAGGCCCACUCCGGCGCGGCGGCGGCCACCAAACCCGCCGGCGGCGUCUCCAAGAAGCAGGCGGCGCACCACCACCAGAAGCAGGCGUCGGCGGCGCAUCUCCUCCACCCGGCACGAGCUGCGGUGGAUCACCGCGGCGGCGCUGACGGGACGAGCGAGGAGAAGGAGGAGGACGCGGAGAGGAAGGCCCGGGAGUUCGACACGGACGUGCGCUACGGGCCCUGCCUCGGCCUCACCCGCGCCGCCGCGCUCGGGCUCGCCUCGCCGCCGCACGCGCUCUGCUCCGACCACCAGCCGUGCCUCUGGGAGGGCCGCGUCUAG